UAGUCUUAGAAGUCUCUUAUUUCUUGGCGGGUAUUCAUUUUCAAGAUAUUAUAUUAUAUUGAGCGAAAGUAUUUCUUUCUCCAUAGCUUGGGCGGGUAGUCUUAGAAGUCUCUUGUUUCUUGGCGGGUAUUCAUUUUCAAGAUAUUAUAUUCUUUUGUUUCUGUUUUCCCUUUGGAGUUUUUGUUUCUGCAAUCUUGGCACUGUAAACCACAGCAACUAAUAAUGACAUUCUGAAGCGGAAUAGGAAAUGACAGAGGCCCUCUAGAGAAUCUUGGAAAGACUCUUGUGCAGAAGAAUAUGGUGAUGAACCGGAUAAGCUAUUUCCAGGUGGACUGAGAGAAAUGCUAGUACUAUCUUCUUCGCCAAUACUGAGCAAUUACGGCGAAGAAGAUUGUCCUAGCAUUCUCUUAGUCCAAGAUUAUCUAGAGAAUGCACAAGAGCCUGUCCAACAUUAUCUAGAGGGUUUCUGCAAUCUAAAGACGGGGAUAAAUUUGCAGAGAAUUUCAGUGGAGUUCAAGUGCGAAUGGAAGAUGAAAGUUAUUCUCCAUAAUUGCUCAGGGUCAUUCAAUUCUGAAGCUGCUUCCUCAUGCAAUGGAAGCAAAACCGAGCAAUUAUGGAGAAUGCCAAGAGAUUGUAAUAUCAUUUCUCUCAGUCCACCAGGAAAUAGGUCAUCCGGUUCAUCAUCCUAUUCUUCUUCAGAAGAGUCUGUCCAAGAUUCUCUAGAGGGUUUUUGUUUCUGCAAUCUGAAGACGGGGAGGAGUUUGCAGAUAAUUUCAAUGGAAUUCAAAUGCGAAUGGCAGAUCAAAGCAUUCUAAGCAGUGAAGAGAUGGAUUAUUAUGCUGUUCCUGAAACUGGUGCUGAUCCAAUGCUUCAAUAUCUACUGCUGGAUCAUCUGACUUCUUGCAUUCUACAGAUAAAUUGUAUAUUCUUUUUUAUUCAAAACUAAGACAUUUGUCUUGAAUUGUAAUUAUUUAUGUUUGUUGUAAUAAUUUGUGUUUGUUUGUGAAAUCUUGGAAGGUUGAGUUCGUUGGGGAUAAAGGUUGCAUGUUUCAAGCAAAGCAAUUCUGUAAUUUGGUUUUUUGAGCUGCACAGGAAAACUCGUAUUUUGUUA